AUUGAACGCUGGCGGCAUGCUUUACACAUGCAAGUCGGACGAGUGGCGAACGGGUGAGUAACGCAUCGGAACGUACCGAGUACAGGGGGAUAACUGUCCGAAAGGACAGCUAAUACCGCAUAUUAUUCGAGCGGCCGAUGUCUGAUUAGCUGGUUGGCGGGGUAAAGGCCCACCAAGGCGACGAUCAGUAGCGGGUCUGAGAGGAUGAUCAGCCAAACUGGGACUGAGAAACGGCCCAGACUCCUACGGGAGGCAGCAGUGGGGAAUUGUUCACAACUGGCGCAAGCCUGAGCAACCCAUGCCGCGUGUAUGAAGAAGGCCUUCGGGUUGUAAAGGAGGUUUGUCAGGCAGGUGGUACCUGAAGAGUAAGCACCGGUUGACUACGUGCCAGCAGCCGCGGUAAUAC
rnacentral:rRNA from 1 species